rnacentral:lncRNA from 1 species
UACAUGGGUGGCUGAAUAACACCUACCUUGAGGGAGAUUCUGCAGUGAGAACAUCAUCGUAUGGGUCUAGUUUUCCUGCAUGUGGAAAUAAUUUACCCUUCUUGUGAGAGGAAUGUGCAUAUGUACUUAGAAAGCGAAGUGGUUUUUGUGUUGUUGUUUUUUUUUUUGCAGGGGCCUGAGUGGAAUGGGGUUUAUGUUCCAUGGCAACCACAUGUUUCACAGAAGUCUCACUCUCCCAGCUAGAGAGGUCUGAUACCAGCAGGCAGCAGGAGCUUCAGAUCUCACAAUGAGAAAGCAACAGAACGAUGUCUUCAAGUGAACUGUGUCUUCUGAAACUCGGAUGCCGAAGACAGAAGCAAUAGUGAAAAUGGAACAGUGUGGAAUGGUAUCAAGGAAGAAACGUUUCCUGAACUCUGAAGCUGGAAUGUCUGCUUUCAGAGAAGUGGCGGGGUCCUUGAGUGAUCCUGAGUGUUGAUGUGGAGCAAGCCUCAAAUCAGAGUAUCAGAUCACCAGCUGCAGUACCGGUUUCUGGAGGAUAAGAACUGGGUCCUUUAUUUUGCUCAUAAGGACCAUUUCAUACAGGAAAAAAAUGGAUCCAUGCAUGUGGUGACCUACGGUUCGGACUCAGGGUCGACAUGCACUAAAAGAAGCGUGAGGGCAGAGGGGGUGUCCUCUGUUGCUUUCUUGGCUUUUGAGGUCUCUGUCAGCUACUCAGGAUUUGUAACACCCCUCUAUGAUCCCGGCUAAAAAGCCAAGACUCUAAAAAUGUGCAAUACCAAAGGUUGUAGUUGCUGAGGCCAGCACCCUCUGAGACUCCAGAGAACACUUGAUGAUGUUAACAGAAAAACGAAGAAUGAUCUGGGGAGAGGAUGAAGUGAAAUGAUUUGUCCAGAGCCAUAUGUUUUACCAGCAUACUUUGGAAUAUAGCAGGUCAAUCUGCUAGUCCCUUAUUCUCUCUGCUUCUCCACCUGUGCAAUGGAAAUGAUCACAGCAGCUUCAUAAAG